CCUACGGGCGGCUGCAGUGAGGAAUAUUGGUCAAUGGCCGGAAGGCUGAACCAGCCAAGCCGCGUGAAGGACGAAGGUGCCAAGCAUUGUAAACUUCUUUUGUCAAGGGACAAAAUCAGGCUCGAGAGCCUGACCGAGGGUACUUGAAGAAAAAGCAUCGGCUAACUCCGUGCCAGCCGCCGCGGUAAUACGGAGGAUGCGAGCGUUAUCCGGAUUUAUUGGGUUUAAAGGGUGCGUAGGCGGACUGUUAAGUCAGCGGUAAAAGCCCGGGGCUCAACCCCGGCGAGCCGUUGAAACUGGCUGUGUGGAGAUGUCGAGAGGUAUGCGGAAUGCGCAGUGUAGCGGUGAAAUGCUUAGAUAUUGCGCAGAACUCCGAUUGCGAAGGCAGCAUACCGGCGGCGAGCUGAUGCUGAGGCACGAAAGCGUGGGUAUCGAACAGGAUUAGAUACCCGGGUAGUC
rnacentral:rRNA from 1 species